CAGACGCCGGGAGGGGCCUGCAAAACGUGGCCUGCUUUGUGUCCCGCGUCCGGGAGCCUCCUCAGAGCCCUCUGCGGCCAAGGGGGUCUCCUGACCCCUGCCUGCCCAGCCCGUGUUCGGGGUGGCUUCGUCCGCCAUGCGCCUGGACGAACGGAUGCCGUGGGUGGGAUCCGGUAGGUCGAGGUGAACCGCCUGCUUACGACGUCGCGUCGCGGCUGCUCUUCUGGAGCAGGGGGGUUCUGCCAAGCGAGAAGCUGCUCGAGUGCCUGGUCGUGUGGGAAGGGGUCGGUUGUCACGCGGUGUCCCAGGCGCACGCCGCUCUGGUCACCGCUUGCACUGUUGCUCGCUUCUUUCAGUUGAUCCGCUUUUGGAAAACAUGGUUGCCUUGCAAAAAAAUUAGCCACCGCCAUCAGUUGCAAGAAAGAAAGGAAGUCUAUGGGAAACGAUUCUCUUUUGCCCGAGGUAACCAUAAAAAUUAACACCGUGAAAACAAAGCAGUAAAAACGAGCCACGAACUAAUACGACAGAAGGUAAGACGUACCGCGCAAAGCCAUCUUCAAGGGACGAGGGACGGCGCACAAGCAGGGGCGGGGCAGAGAGAGCAAGAGGCAGAGGGAGACCCAGAACCGGAAGCAGGCUCCAGGCUCCGAGCCGUCAGCACGGAGCCCGACGCGGGGCUCGAACCCACGGACCGGGAGAUCGUGACCCGAGCCGAAGUCGGACGCUGAACCGACUGAGCCACCCAGCGGCCCCGGAGUUUGGUUUUCCUUUGAAAGGAGGGGGUUCUGUGAGAAACGAGCCAAACACAUUAGGGAACGUGUGAGCCAGCAUUUUCCAAAUUAAACAUCCAUUCGCAGGUUGUGAAGUGACUGGAGUCGUUGCUACUGGCGUUGUUGUAGCGGAGCCGUAUUAAAAUAUAUUUAUUUUCUAUUUUC